AGCUUGCCGCUCUUGCAUUCGCAGUCGCAGAUCUCCCAGGCCUCCCUCGACGAGAACCUCCUCAGCCCUCGCCAUCCCUCCCCCGCGCGCGAUCAGCAGGCAUACAGAAAAAGUUUGUGCUCGUAGAGACCUCUCUCCAGCAAAUUCUUAAGGGACAAGACGAUCUCAAGGUGCUCUUUGAAGGCAGCACAAAAAGCAAUCCUGACCAGAUGAGUGCUCUGAACAACCACACCAGCAAACUCGAUGAGAUAUUAUCGACACUUUCAAUCCUGAAGCAAAUGCAGGAAGAUUUGAGGCAAUUGAA